UGGGGAAUAUUGCACAAUGGGCGCAAGCCUGAUGCAGCCAUGCCGCGUGUGUGAAGAAGGCCUUCGGGUUGUAAAGCACUUUCAGCGAGGAGGAAGGUGGUGAGCUUAAUACGCUCAUCAAUUGACGUUACUCGCAGAAGAAGCACCGGCUAACUCCGUGCCAGCAGCCGCGGUAAUACGGAGGGUGCAAGCGUUAAUCGGAAUUACUGGGCGUAAAGCGCACGCAGGCGGUUUGUUAAGUCAGAUGUGAAAUCCCCGGGCUCAACCUGGGAACUGCAUUUGAAACUGGCAAGCUAGAGUCUCGUAGAGGGGGGUAGAAUUCCAGGUGUAGCGGUGAAAUGCGUAGAGAUCUGGAGGAAUACCGGUGGCGAAGGCGGCCCCCCUGGACGAAGACUGACGCUCAGGUGCGAAAGCGUGGGGCAGCAAACAGGGUUAGAUACCCUGGUAGUCCAG
rnacentral:rRNA from 1 species